GGUCAGUGUCUCGCUCACAGCCGCACAUUCCUCUGGGGACUCCUGGCAAGUUGAUUUAUUCUGUGCCUAAGCAAACAUCCUGACUGCCUGACAUUACUGCUCCCCAGCAGGGACAUGCUAAAGAGAAAUGACCUGAAGUACAAAUGUGAAGCCAGCACCUUCGAGCAGCACUGGCCCAGAGUGGAGGCCCCAGGCCUAGCUUUAAAAGACCUUAUGUUAAUAGCAGUGUUGCCAAAUCUCACCACUUCAUUGCAAGGCUUGUGGAUAGCAGCUAUUUUACUUACAAACCCAGCUCCUGGAGACUAUUGAUUAUGUGAAAAAUAAAUGGUUGCAGAGAGAAGCUUAAAAA